AUGGGCAGCUCGCUCGGGUCCGGCGACAUGAUGAAGAUCGGCAUGGGCAGCUCGCUCGGGUCUGGCGACACCAUGAAUGUCGGGCCAGCGAACAAUGAUGCCUCCGGCUCCCAGUCCACCUCCAUCUUAGCCAGAGGCUUCGGCUUCUUCUUGGGCAGGUCGAUCAACGGAGCAAGGCCAGCGAAGGGUAAUGCCUCCACCACGGUCGGCGGCAUCGCCUUCUUCUCGGACCGGUCAACCGACGCCGCAGGACCAGCGAAGAGUGACGCCUCCGAGUCUGUCACCAUCUCAGUCGUAGGCUCUGCCUUCUUCUCCGACCGGUCGAUCGACGGAGCAGGGCCAUCGAAGGAUGUCACCACCGAGUAUGCCACCAUCUCAGUCACAGGCUUUGUCUUCUUCUCGAACCGGUCGACCGACGGCGCGGGGCCAGCGUGGAGUGAUGCCUCCGAGGCUGCCACCAUCUCAGCCGGAGGCCUCGGCUUCUUGUCGCACCGGUCGACGGAUGGCGCACGGCUCGCCGGCCUCUUCCAGUUCUCCCUCGGCAUCUCCCCGCGGCCGAGGCGCUCGACGCCGCCGUUCACAGUCUCGGUACGGCGGAGCGUCUUGUCAGUGGCCCAGCUGGAGCUCCGUGAAGCGCGUCCAGGAAGGUCGGCCUUGUCUCUGAUCCAGCUUCGGCUCAUCGAGGCACGUCCAGGCUGCUGCUUCUUGCUGUCCAGCUCCACACGAGCCGUGUACACCGCCGGAGGAGGCAUCAGGAGGUGGCAGCGCGCCGGGGUAGGCAGCAGCGGUGGCAGAGUCGCGGCGACAUGGCUAGCCAUCUCUGCAAACAACGAACACAACAAAGAACAGAGAGACCAAGUGAUUGCACAAGCGAAACAAGUAAUAGAACAAUUGCGAUGCUAA
rnacentral:rRNA from 1 species